GGGAGUAUAGCUCAGUGGCGGAGCAUUCGACUACAGAUUGAGAUGUCGGUAGUUCAACUCCGUGUACGUCCUA